UCCAUCGUUCAUGCCUCCCAUUAAACACAUCGUCCCAAAAAAGAAAAACACUUCAAAAAUUCGAUUUGGUUAAAGAACAAUAAAGGCUUCCAUUGUUUGACCACACCGUGAUUGCUGCACUCGACGGGAUCAUAGAAAUUGCCGUAUCUACAACCGAAAAUCUGCAUCUCAAAAGAGAUAUUUCACACUCUGAAUUAGUAUAUUUACUGUAAUAUCUCAGAUUUGGGAUAUGUUUUUCACCUAGUUUAUAUGCCAUUCAUACAUUUGGGAAUUUUUUUUAGGGAUUUGUUUAUGUACACAAACUAUCGUUGAAUCGAUAGAAGAAAGCAAAAGAAAAAAAAAAAGAAAAGAUUACCUCUAUUUAUUCUAAACAUUAUGCAAGUCUGGUGAUAGAUUUUAGAGUUUGAGUGUCAGACAUUGUUCUUGUGAUAUAUCUCCAUGUCUAAGUACUACACAACUCAUGAAAUCUAUAAAAUUCGAAUACAUGGUUUGAAAUCCCUGAUACUAGAAUGUGUUGACACAUGUUUUAAAUUCUGACAUGUUGCAAAUUUACCAAGGAAAUUCUCGUGCAUAUUGACAAAUACCAU
rnacentral:lncRNA from 1 species